GGCGAACGCUGGCGGCGUGCUUAACACAUGCAAGUCGAACGGAAAGGCCCUGCUUUUGUGGGGUGCUCGAGUGGCGAACGGGUGAGUAACACGUGAGUAACCUGCCCUUGACUUUGGGAUAACUUCAGGAAACUGGGGCUAAUACCGGAUAGGAGCUCCUGCUGCAUGGUGGGGGUUGGAAAGUUUCGGAGGUUGGGGAUGGACUCGCGGCUUAUCAGCUUGUUGGUGGGGUAGUGGCUUACCAAGGCUUUGACGGGUAGCCGGCCUGAGAGGGUGACCGGCCACAUUGGGACUGAGAUACGGCCCAGACUCCUACGGGGGGCAGCAGUGGGGAAUAUUGCACAAUGGGCGGAAGCCUGAUGCAGCAACGCCGCGUGCGGGAUGACGGCCUUCGGGUUGUAAACCGCUUUCGCCUGUGACGAAGCGUGAGUGACGGUAAUGGGUAAAGAAGCACCGGCUAACUACGUG
rnacentral:rRNA from 1 species